CAAAGAAUAGUUUAUAAAAAUAAUAAUUUUGGAGAUUAUAGAUAAAGAUUUGCCUUUUUCUUUGA
rnacentral:tRNA from 1 species